GGGGGGGGGGGGGGUUCAUUUGUAAUCACACUCCAUGUCCCUGCCUACUGAGAUGCAUCCACACCGACACGCACGCACGCACGCACGCACGCACGCACACACACACACACACACACACACACACACACACACACACACACACACACACACACACACACACACACACACACACACACACACACACACACACACACACACACACACACACACACACACACACCUCUCAAGGGCACAGCUAAAUUCAGACCCUUAGGUCUAGGAACAUUAGCACCCCUCCUUCCAUCUGUUUUUCCAUCUCUCUCUCCAUCGCUCUACAUUCAGGAGACGAGUCCUUACCUGUCACUACAUGCACACACGCAAGCACAAGAAACAAGUAGGCACUUAAGCAAGUAGACACGCACACAUUCAUGCACACACAGACACACACAUAUACACACACACAGACACACACAUACACACACACUUACACACACAUAAACACACACAGAGACACAGAUACACAGCUAAACUGUCAGAUCUUUAGCUGGUCAUUAUCAGAUGAUGUACUUAGGAGCAGCUAAACCGUCUCGACAGACCCACAGCCUCAAGACAGAUGAAACUGCUGUUAAGAUGUCUGUCCCGGGCCUCCCGGGUGGCGCAGUGGUCUAGGGCACUGCAUCGCAGUGCUAGCUGCGCCACCAGAGUCUCUGGGUUCGCGCCCAGGCUCUGUCGCAGCCAGCCGCGACCAGGAGGUCAGUGGGGCGACGCACUAUUGGGCUAGCGUCGUCCGGGUUAGGGAGGGUUUGGCCGGUAGGGAUAUCCUUGUCUCAUCGCGCUCCAGUGACUCCUGUGGCGGGCCAGGCGCAGUAUGCGCUAACCAAGGGGGCCAGGUGCACGGUGUUUCCUCCGACACAUUGGUGCGGCUGACUUCCGGGUUGGAGGCGCGCUGUGUUAAAGAAGCAGUGCGGAUUGGUUGGGUUGUGCUUCGGAGGACGCGUGGCUUUCGACCUUCGUCUCUCCCGAGCCCGUACGGGAGUUGUAGCGAUGAGACAAGAUAGUAAUUACUAGCGAUUGGAUACCACGAAAAUUGGGGAGAAAAGGGGAUCAAAUUAAAAAUAAAUAAAAAAAGAUGUCUGUCCCAUGUACGAUAUGACCUUACUUCAAACACACAUAUACCACAAACAAACACACACGCUGCAGCCAUCUCAUCUGUUGAAUGAUGAGAUGGCCCGUAGGACAUAUCUGCUGCUCAGUCUGGAUACAGGGGGGUGUUGGGCGUUCUGUUGUGAUGCAGACAGGGCCAGGAGGGGUAUGUGUUAACCCGUAAGAGGACAGAGCAGGGUAUAAAUAUGACCACUGAAAGAGAAACAGGAUCAGGGGGAUUCAGGUUGUGUAAGGGGUGUAAGACGUGGGUGGGGUGUGUAAGGGGUGUAAGACGUGGGUGGGGUGUGUAAGGGGUGAAGGGCCCAAUGGCCGGGAUGUAAACAGAACAGGGGGGUCCUGGACGGGCAUGUAGAGUGUGUGUGUGUGGGUAGGUGUGUUUACAGAUGGAAGGUUGGGGUGUGUAUGUGUGUGUGUCUGUGUGAGGGUUCUCUCUCGGUUACAGAACUGUUGUUGGCAAGCGAGUCACCGUCGCCAAGGGCAAUGUUCUAGAAUCUUGCUGAUGUCAGCAACUGACCAAUAAGAGCAGGGAGGGUGCACCCCGUAGUUUCUGGAACCCCCUGUCAUCCCCCAAGAAAUCUGUGUGUGUGGGUCUGUGUGUGUGUGUGUGUGUGUGUGUGUGCGUGUGUGUGUGUGUGUGUGUGUGUGUGUGUGUGUGUGCGUGUUGUAACCUCAGCCAAGGUCCUGUGAGUGUAUCAUUGUGCAUGGCUCAUGCUAAUGGUUGACUCAGGGGUGCGGGGGUUGGUAUUUUAAACAGACUUCAACAUUCAUGCAUUCAUUGUUGCGGAACGUCAUGAUCUUGCUGUAAGUUGGCCAUCAGAUGAGGGAUGCAUCUCAAUAGUCUACAGGGGCUUCCUCUCCUCAUCUCGUCUCCUUCAAAUGCAUUAGUGUUUCCCUAUAUGGCAAUGUUUCCCAAACUCGAUCCUGGGGACCAGAAGGGUGCACACUUUUUUUUCUUCCAUCGCACUACAAAGCUGAUGCAAAUAAUCAUCUCAUCAUUAAGUUUUCAUUAUUUGAAUCAGCUGUGUAGUGCUAGGGAAGAAAAAAAAGUGCACCCCUUGGGGUCCCAGGACCGAGUUUGGGAAACAGGACCGAGUUUGGGAGUUUGGGAAACACUGCUAUAGGGCUUGAAAUGAAGGAGAGGAGACAAGACAAUCUGUACUGUAAACGUUUGAAAUGCACCCGAGGAGAGCAGUCAUAGAAACAGAUGACUGAUUUCAUAGUCCCUAAAGUUUCAAACCCAGAAGCACCUUACAGUCAUGAACCAGUGUACUGGCUCAGGGCUGUGUGUGUGUGCGUGUGUGUGUGCGUGUGCGUGUGUGUGUGUGUUGUGCUGAGACGUCCUGUAUGUGGUAAACUUCAGCACUAACUCCCACUGUGAGGACAGGAUCAGAUCGCAGUAGAGCCAGAGACUUAUAGCAACAAACUCUAACAGCCUCACAUCAUAAUUAGACGUUCAUCCAUGUUUCUCAAAAGUGAAGUUUUUAAGGUUAAGUUUAGGCAUAAACUCCGAAUUGAUAAGGUUAGGCAUUAACUCUUUCAAUGAUCUAUAUCUGGAUUUGAACAUGCAACCUUUAGAACCAGAUGUUUACGCCCAUCCGCCAUCCCUGUCCCCAACGCCCUAGCAAAGCAAAACCAAAACCUACUUGAAGGUAACAGCGCUCACUGUUUCCCCUAGAGGCCAGUUUCCAAGUCAUCUCCCGACGUCCUUAGACAUGGAUGGGCGUCGAAUACUGACAUGUAUCACGGGUGACCCGCAUGCUUAUUGAGACUAAGGGCCACACAUACACCAAGAGGCACGCACGCACACACACAUACAAGAAGUCUUAAAGCUCUGUUCGGCUCUUAAUCGUUUCUUGUGCUGGUCACGGUCUAUCGAUCACGUGGCCCUGUUCUGCACACACGCCCCGGGGGGUUGCAUAGUUAGGCACACACACAAACACACUAGGGCUCCCUCGCUUCACAGACCUCUAUCCCAUAAUUAGCUCGUCCAGACAGAGAUGACAGUGCAGACAUGAGAAGACACCCGGGGGAGAGCCCAGUGUGUGUGUGUGUGUGUGUGUGUGUGUGUGUGUGUGUGUGUGUGUGUGUGUGUGUGUGUGUGUGUGUGUGUGUGUGUGUGUGUGUGUGUGUGUGUGUGUGUCCAGUCUGUUCUGGAGUGGGCCGGUUUCAGGCAGACCACUGAACCAUCACCAUACCAGUUGGACACACACACACACAUCUAGCGUAUCUCUCUCUCUCUCUCUCUCUGUAUAUACACUAGCAGUGAAGUUUGGACACACCUACUCAUUCAUAGAUUUUUCUUUAUUUUAACUAUUUUCUACGUUCUAGAAUAUUAGUGAAGAAAUCAAACCUAUGAAAUAACACAUGGAAUCAUGUAGUAACUAAAAGAGUCAACAAAUCAAAAUGUAUUUUAGAUUUUAGAUUCUUCAAAGUAGCCACCCUUUUCUUGAUAACAGCUUUGCACACUCUUGGCAUUCUCUCAACCAGAUUCACCUGGAAUGCUUUUCUAACAGUCUUGAAGGAGUUUCCACAUAUACUAAGCACUUGAAGGCUGCUUUUCCUUCACUCUGACGCCCAAUUCAACCCAAACCAUCUCAAUUGGGUUGAGGUAGGAUGAUUGUGGAGGCCAGGACAUCUGAUGCAGCACUCCAUCAUGCUCCUUCUUGGUCAAAUAGCCCUUACACAGCCUGGAGGUGUGUAGGGUCAUUGUCCUGUUGAAAAACAAAUGAUAGUCCCAAUAUGCGCAAACCAGAUGGGAUGGCAUAUCACUACAGAGUGCUGUGGGAGCCAUGUUUGUUAAGUCUGCUUUGAAUUCUAAAUAAAUCACUGACAGUGUCACAAGCAAAGCACCCCCACAUCCUCACAACUCCUCCUCCAUGCUUCAUGAUGGGAACAACACAUGGAGAGAUCAUCCGUUAAAACUUCUUAGGGAUAGCCACUUUUUUUCAAUUUUCGCCUAAAUGACAUACCCAAAUCUAACUGCCUGUAGCUCAGACCCUGAAGCAAGGAUAUGCAUUUUCUUGCUACCAUUUGAAAGGAAACACUUUGGAGUUUGUGGAAAUGUGAAUUGAAUGUAGGAGAAUAUAACACAAUAGAUCUGGUAGAAGAAAAUACAACCAGUCUUUUUCUACCACCAUCUUUGAAAUCCAAGAGAAAUCACUCUGGUUGUAAUUCCGAUAGUGUCCACAGGAUGGCAGCAGUAUAUGUGCAAAGUUUCAGAUAGAUAACUUGAAGUAUGAGUGAACUACAAUACUUUUAGUGUGAAGUCCCCAGGUACAUUUGGGCAAAUCGUGAAGGAGACAUUCGCAUUCAUAUUACAUUUUUCUGCAAGAAUAUCGUCAAAUUUGUAUACUUGGACUUUGAUUUAGCUUUCCAAGUAUUAGUAGCCAUAUUAUAAGUUCAACAUUUGCAAAACAACUAGAUUUCAUAACUUCAUAACUCUGAAUAUCAUUAUAAUUUCUGUCCAAAAUGAAAAGGCAUGCUGUCGUACAAGGUUAGUAACACAUUUUACGACAUAUACAUGGUUUCCCGUAAAGCCCAGCUCUCUGGCUAUCUAGCUAGCUUUGUUUGACCUCGAUUGGUGCUUAUUUGACAAAGAUACAGUCGUUCAAGUGAUGACCGCCCGCGUCAUUGGCAUGCCAUGAAGGAGGUGAAUUUGGAGGGGAAUUUAUCAAACCUAUCGUGGUGAAAAAGUGUUUUGUUGUUAGGAGCUCUUCUCAAACAAUAGCAUGGCAUUUUUUUCGCAGUAAUAGCUACUAGCUAGUAAAUUGGACAGUGCAGUUAUAUUAACAAUAAUUUAAGCUUUCAGCCGAUAAGACACUUAUAUGUACCAACAUUUGUUGUUUCUCUAAAAUCUGCGAUCUUGACAUAACAUGCUGCAUGAUUUACAACUGUCCUGUUGGCGGGACGCCGAUCCUUAAGAAGUCCUACUCUGCGUCUCACAAAGACACGGCAGUUGGAACCAGAAAUGUCAAAUUUGGACUCAUCAGACCAAAGGACAGACUUCCACCGGUCUAAUGUCCAUUGCUCAUGUUCUUGCCCCAACAAGUCUCUUCUUAUUAUUGGUGUUCUUUAGUAGUGGUUUCUUUGCAGCAAUUCAACCAUGAAGGCCUGAUUCAUGAAGUCUCCUCUGAAUAGUUGAUGUUGAGAUGUGUCUGCUACUUGAACUCUGUGAAGCAUUUAUUUGGGUUGCAAUCUGAGGUACAGUUAACUCCAAUGAACUUAUCCUCCGCAGUAGAAACUCUGGGUCUUCCUUUCCUGUGGCGGUCCUCAUGAGAGCCAGUUUCAUCAUAGGGCUUGAUGGUUUUUGUGACUGCACUUGAAGAACCUUUCAAAGUUAUUGAAAUUUUCCGUAUUGACUGACCUUCAUGUCAAAGUAAUGAUGGACUGUCUUUUCUCUGCUUAUUUCAGCUGUUCUUGCCAUAAUAUGGACUUGGUCUUUUACCAAAUAGGGCUAUCUUCUGUAUACCACCCCUACCUUGUCACAACACAACUGAUUGGCUCAAACGCAUUAAUUAAGAAGGAAAGAAAUUCAACAAAUCAACUCUUAACAAGAAUCCCAAAUAUAAAAUAUAUUUUGAUUUGUUUAACACUUUUUUUAUUUGUACAUGAUUCCAUAUGUGUUAUUUCAUAGUUUUGAUGUCUUCGCUAUUAUUCUACAACGUAGAAAAUAGUACAAAUAAAGAAAAAACCUUGAAUGAGUAGGUGUGUCCAAACUUUUGACUGGUAAUAUAUAUAUAUAUGCCCAGUGUUAAGUCUGCUACUCUGAGAGGCUUUAAUACCUCACACCUCUGAGAGGCUUUAAUACCUCACACCUCUUCGUUAUCUCUCUCCCUCUAUCCCUCUCUUUAUGUCUCCUUCUGGGUCCAUCUCUGUCUCCACAGCUGUGUGUGUGUGUGUGUGUGUGUGUGUGUGUGUGUGUGUGUGUGUGUGUGUGCGUGCGUGCGUGCGUGCGUGCGUGCGUGCGUUUGGGCAGUAUCACAGCUUGAGUAUGAAGCACAGAAACCAUCUAAUGCAAUAAGUAAAUGACUCUUUCUUCCAGAGUGUGAGCACACACACACAUACAUAGAUAGAAUAUCUACACGCAUACUCCCUCACACACCUGUGUGAAAGCGAAACAUAACUUUUGCUCUGAUUUACACAUACUUCUAUUUUGACUCUAUGUUCAGCACAUACACACACAUACACUUUACACGGCAUACCAGUCUGACGUGCUGUUGUGUGAGUACAGGAAAAUAUAGUUGUCCACAGGGAUCCUUCUGGUUGCAUGUCCUUGAAUCGGGCCUCAGUGGAGAGAGGAGGAAGAAGCGAGAGAGAAUAGGAGAGACUAGAGGAGCCACUAUGAAAAUUCACAAUGUACUGCAGCAUUAAAACGGGGGAAAUUAACGUCCAUUUAAAUGAUAAAUAAACUAAAUGAUAUCAUGUCAUGAAAUAGCACAUUUUGUUUCUACAAUGUGAACCUGAGUAUGGACAGGGGGUAGAGGGAGGAGAGAGAGGAUAAUGGAUGGUGUUAUGGAGGCUGGAGACAGUUGUCUCUUCAUUAUGUUAAAAGUGACACACACACAUACAGCAGCUUCAACUGCUAACACCCCAACAGUUCUUUGACAGGCCUACAGAAACGUCUUGUCACACUGGCAGUUUCCAACCUGAACACACACACUCUGUCCUUACCAGUAGAAACCAGUACCCACAUACACGUACACACGUACACACGUACGUACACAAACAUACACUACUGUAAUACUGUAUGACUCCACACAGGACUGUCUUUUGUCUACAGCGGUUCCGGCUAUUUAAAACUGCGGUAACUUAUAUUAAGUCCUAUUGUAUCUUUUACUAUUAUUAAAGGAUAGACUCUGA